rnacentral:rRNA from 1 species
CCUACGGGAGGCAGCAGUGAGGAAUAUUGGUCAAUGGCCGGACGGCUGAACCAGCCAUGCCGCGUGAAGGUCAGUGCCCUAUGGGCGUUUAACUUCCUUUGUGCGGGAGCAAUAAUGGUCACGUGUGGCCAGGCGAGAGUACCGUACGAAUAAGCAUCGGCUAACUCCGUGCAAGCAGCCGCGGUAAUACGGGGGAUGCAAGCGUUAUCCGGAUUUAUUGGGUUUAAAGGGUGCGUAGGCUGUGAGGUAAGUCAGCGGUAAAAGCCCGGGGCUCAACCCCGGCGAGCCGUUGUAACUGGCGGGCUGGAGUUGGAGAGAAGUACGCGGAAUGCGCGGUGUAGCGGUGAAAUGCAUAGAUAUCGCGCAGAACCCCGAUUGCGAAGGCAGCAUACCGGCUCCACACUGACGCUGAGGCACGAAAGCGUGGGUAUCGAACAGGAUUAGAUACCCCUGUAGUC